AACGCGAAGAACCUUACCCAGACUUGACAUGCACCGGACAGCGCCGGAGACGGCGCCUCCCUUCGGGGCCGGUGCACAGGUGCUGCAUGGCUGUCGUCAGCUCGUGCCGUGAGGUGUUGGGUUAAGUCCCGCAACGAGCGCAACCCUUAUCAUUAGUUGCCAGCACGUAAAGGUGGGAACUCUAAUGAGACUGCCCGGGUUAACCGGGAGGAAGGUGAGGAUGACGUCAAGUCCGCAUGGCCCUUAUGUCUGGGGCUACACACGUGCUACAAUGGCCGGUACAACAGGCAGCAAAACUGUGAAGUGAAGCAAAUCCCGAAAGCCGGCCCCAGUUCAGAUUGCAGUCUGCAACUCGACUGCAUGAAGAUGGAAUUGCUAGUAAUGGCGAGUCAGCAACAUCGCCGUGAAUACGUUCCCGGGCCUUGUACACACCGCUCGUC
rnacentral:rRNA from 1 species